UACGUAGGGGGCAAGCGUUGUCCGGAUUUAUUGGGCGUAAAGAGCGUGUAGGCGGCCAUGCAGGUCCGCUGUGAAAACUCGAGGCUCAACCUCGAGACGUCGGUGGAAACCGCAUGGCUAGAGUCCGGAAGAGGAGAGUGGAAUUCCCGGUGUAGCGGUGAAAUGCGCAGAUAUCAGGAAGAACACCCGUGGCGAAGGCGGCUCUCUGGGACGGUACUGACGCUGAGACGCGAAAGCGUGGGGAGCGAACAGG
rnacentral:rRNA from 1 species